UACGUAGGGUGCAAGCGUUAAUCGGAAUUACUGGGCGUAAAGCGUGCGCAGGCGGUGAUGUAAGACAGAUGUGAAAUCCCCGGGCUCAACCUGGGAACUGCAUUUGUGACUGCAUCGCUGGAGUGCGGCAGAGGGGGAUGGAAUUCCGGCGUGUAGCAGUGAAAUGCGUAGAUAUGCGGAGGAACACCGAUGGCGAAGGCAAUCCCC
rnacentral:rRNA from 1 species